AAGAAAACCAGAGAUUUGGGCUGGAGGGAGGGUGUGCCCCUUAUCUUUGGAGCUGAACAAAUUCAGCUCUCAUUUAUAUAGCAAAGCGUUUUUUGUUUGUUUGUUUGUUUGUUUGUUUGUUUGUUUUUUGCUCAGACUCUCAGAAAGCAAUUCCAAUUGAAAAGUGGAAAUCAAAAUGGGCCACCCAUUUCAACUUCUGUCCUUUAGUGCCACCUCAAGGAUUUUCUAACAAUAGUUUAAAUAAAGUCAGGCCUUCUACCACCAGCAGGGGAAGAUCCUGGAUUCAGGAGACAAUUUACCCACGUUCACCUGAUGCAGUCAGUGGGAAGCUGGCGGGGCUCAAUGGGCUCAUUGCUGCAUCCUAGCACAAGUGUUCCUGGGUGAGCUUUUCUGGAAUCCUGCCAACUAUGUCAAGUAAAUGUCGAUGUAAGAAACAUUCACACCUGUGAAGAAUUUUUGUGAGUUUAUUUGAGCCAAACUGUUGACAAUUGCAGGGAAGCAAAGUCUCAAGUGACUGAGAUAAUGCCCCAGAGAAUGGCAGCUUUGUCCCUUAUUUUAUACAUUACAAUCAAAAGAGGAGACAUAAAGGGGUUAAAUGACAUCCACUGGUUAUAGAUUAGUGAGGUGGGAGACAGCAAAGCAGGGAAAGCUCACUAAAUAUGUAAAGCUAAAAAUAAAUAUAAAUAUAAUACAUAGAUAUAGUAAAGAGCUGAUAAUUUCUGAUCAUAAGAUUUUAAAAAUAGCUAACUGAUAAAUAAAUAACUGAUAGGGGGCAGCUGACUUUGGGCAACCUUAUUCCGAGGCCCCAGGUCAUUGCUGACGAAAGCUAGAUAAAUUCGCAUGAGAAGUUUAAGGAAAGUGCUCCCUCCAAUGCCAGAGCUCAACAGUUAUGACGCUAUUUCAACCAGUCUGUGGCUUGUGCCAUAGCACAUACAACAAGCCCCACCGUUUUUGCUUCCCUGGUGCCGGAGGUACUCUGGGAAACAGGGGCUGACACUGGGACUUGCAAUGCAGAGCAGUGGCCUUGGAGACCCAGAGGCUGCCUUCUUAGCCAAGCUCCAUGCUCAGAGAGUGGGAUCCCCUUGAAAAUGCACUAUAUUCUGCACAAAGGGGCCAUUGCCAUUUCCAAAGUCAAUGUAAGAUCUUCAGAAGAAUUGUGGGAAGUUCUUAUCCUGUCCUGACACAUGGCUCCUGACACCCCUGUCAUUUCCUGGCCGAGAGCAGUGUCUUUUGUUCUCAUGAAGAAACUCCAGAUGGGCUCUUGGAUAAAGGCUGUUCACCAGACUGACAAAGCCGUGGUUAGAAGCUUGGAGUUCUCAGCCUCACCCAGGGACAAGGGUUGAAAAUGGAGUUAAUCAUUAACCAUGAUGAAGCUCCACCAAAAAAAACCAUAGGAUGGGACUUAGGAAGCUUCUAUGUUUGCAAACAUCCAUACCUGGAGGGUGAUGCACCCCAAUCUAUGGGCAUACAAGCUCCUGUGCUGGGAACCCUAACAGAGCUCACCCUAUGUAUCUCUUCAUUUGGCCAUUUGUCUGUAUCCUUUAUCAGAUCGUUUAAUAUACCAGUAAAUGUAAGUAGGUGUUUCCCUGAGUUCUAUUAACUGAUCGAGCAAAUUAAUCAGACCUGGGGAAGAAGAAGGGUCAUUGAAACCUGCAAUUUGUAGCAAAAUCAGACAUAAGUUGUGGGUGACCUUGCAGCCUACUACUUGCAGCUGGCAUCUGAAGGGGGUCAAUCGUGUGUGACUGAACCUGAAAUCUGUGGAAUCUGACUCUAUCUCCAGGUUGGAGUGCUGAGCUGAGUUAAGUUGUAGGACAGCCAGCUGGUGUAGUGGAGAACAACCCACACAUUUGAUGAUCAGAAGGGUCAGAGCAAAGUGUUGUGUCAGAGCGAAAAACAAGAAUGAGCUAAGCAGGUGACACACAGGAGGAAGGAUUCUAAACUCAGCAACAGGAACACUUACAAAAGUAUGCAUGUUUGAGGAAACAAAUAACUUACUAUCACGAUAUCACUCAACCCGAGGCAGUUUAGGCUGAUGUGGAGAGAGUGUUCCAGGGCGUGGCCCCUGUCAGACCCGCAGGCAAACUGGACCAGGGCCUGAACGGAGACUGUAAUCAGUGACGGUUCUGACAUAACCUAGCACCCCUCCCCUGUUGCAUGCUGGUUCCUGGGACAGGCCUUUGUCCUGACCUGGUCCAGCAUGUGAUUUCCCAUACCUGGUAGCUUUCACAUGCUAGUACCCAUGACUGUCCCCCCUUUAUCCUAUAUGAUUGUUUGCUCCUGCCAAGCUGUGUGGAAUCCAUUUUGAAUUGAAGCCACCUAAGAUGUAUUUAAUGAGCUGUGUCCAUUAAUAAACUA